rnacentral:rRNA from 1 species
UACGUAGGGCGCGAGCGUUGUCCGGAAUUAUUGGGCGUAAAGAGCUCGUAGCGGCCUGUCGCGUCCGCUGUGAAAACCCGGGGCUUAACCCCGGGCCUGCAGUGGAUACGGGCAGGCUGGAGGCAGGCAGGGGAGAACGGAAUUCCCGGUGUAGCGGUGAAAUGCGCAGAUAUCAGGAGGAACAUCAAUGGCGAAGGCAGCACUCUGGGACGGUACUGACGCUGAGACGCGAAAGCGUGGGGAGCAAACAGG